rnacentral:rRNA from 1 species
AUUGAACGCUGGCGGCAUGCCUUACACAUGCAAGUCGAACGGCAGCACGGGUGCUUGCACCUGGUGGCGAGUGGCGAACGGGUGAGUAAUACAUCGGAACGUACCUUAUCGUGGGGGAUAACGCAGCGAAAGCUGUGCUAAUACCGCAUACGCCCUGAGGGGGAAAGCGGGGGAUCGAAAGACCUCGCGCGAUUAGAGCGGCCGAUGCCUGAUUAGCUUGUUGGUGGGGUAAAGGCCCACCAAGGCGACGAUCAGUAGCUGGUCUGAGAGGAUGAUCAGCCACACUGGAACUGAGACACGGUCCAGACUCCUACGGGAGGCAGCAGUGGGGAAUCUUGCGCAAUGGGGGCAACCCUGACGCAGCCAUACCGCGUGUGCGAUGAAGGCCCUCGGGUUGUAAAGCACUUUUGGCAGGGACGACGAUGACGGUACCUGCAGAAUAAGUCACGGCUAACUUCGUG